GACCAAAAAGAUGCAUGAUGGAAAUGAUGAACAGUUGCUCUGUUUGCUUACUUUCAAGUACCUAGCUUUUACAUUAGUGUUCUUCCAGGAAUUAUUAAAACUGAAAUUACUAUCUAUGGGAAGCAUAAAACUAAAGUCUAGGUAAGAGAAGGACAUGAUAUAAAGUUUGAGCUACUGUUUAUCUUGUUCCUACUACACUAAGUUCUGGAGAUUUAUUUUGAAAACUUGCAAAUUACAUGAUGAGUUCCUAGCAUGACAAACUUUCUACCACAGCCAUACUUGCUAUAACAUCUUUCCCUACUUAUAUCCACAUUGAGUUUGAUCGAGCUGUGUAGACCCUUAGGAGCUUUUCAUGUGGUUAAAUUAAGAUAUUCACUUGCACACAUGUACUCCACCAUUCACCACCAUACAUUAAAAUUGCUAAAAUAUUAUUAUCACUCACUGUCCCAAGUAUUGUUAUUCUCUCUCUAGAAAGAUUCAAUGCAGAAGAGGCAUGGUUAUGCAAAAAUAUAUGAGGAAAUAAAAAGGGGCAAGUGCCUAGAACCUCGAAGAAGAAAAAGAAAGAAAAAGAGUGAGACGAGAGGUAAAAAUGGACAAGUGUCCGGAGUAGAAUUAGGGGUACAAAGAUACUCACCUGAGCGGAAAAAAUGUACAAGUGUCCGACAGUAGAAUUAGGGGAUCUACUACCCACCUGAAAAAAAAGAGAGAAAAAAGAUAGCCCAUGUUCUCCCAAAAGCAGAGAUCAAAGAAGAGGAGAGAUAGCAAUAUGAGGAGCAAUGAGAAGUAAGCUUUAUCAUUACUUAUACAUUUUUACCAUCACUAUCAUUUACUCCACCACACAUGCACAUCUUGAUUGAAUUAUAUGCUGAGUUCCUUUGGAUCCAUGGCUCGAUUAGACAACAUAUGUAUGAGCUAUUUUUCACUCCUAUGAGCUCCACUUAAAUACUCCAUUAGCUAUAGGUAAGUGACAUUUUGGUAAGGAUCCACAAAUACCACAUAUAGAGAGACUUGAGAGAAUCAUUGCUGGGAACUCUGAGUUUUAUUUUGAAAAACUUAUACAAAACUUCAGAACAAAGGUGAAGUAUAGACAGGAGGA
rnacentral:lncRNA from 1 species